rnacentral:rRNA from 1 species
ACUCCUACGGGAGGCAGCAGUGGGGAAUAUUGCACAAUGGGCGAAAGCCUGAUGCAGCAACGCCGCGUGAAGGAUGAAGGCCUUUGGGUCGUAAACUUCUGUCCUUGGGGAAGAAAAAAAUGACGGUACCCCUGGAGGAAGUCCCGGCUAACUACGUGCCAGCAGCCGCGGUAAU